UACAGAGGUAUCAAGCGUUGUUCGGAAUCACUGGGCGUAAAGCGUGCGUAGGCUGUUUCGUAAGUCGUGUGUGAAAGGCGCGGGCUCAACCCGCGGACGGCACAUGAUACUGCGAGACUAGAGUAAUGGAGGGGGAACCGGAAUUCUCGGUGUAGCAGUGAAAUGCGUAGAUAUAUGGAGGAACACCAGUGGCGAAGGCGGCGAUCUGGGGUGCAACUGACGCUCAGUCCCGAAAGCGUGGGGAGCAAAUAGG
rnacentral:rRNA from 1 species